GAUGAACGCUGGCGGCGUGCCUAAUACAUGCAAGUCGAGCGAACGGACGAGAAGCUUGCUUCUCUGAUGUUAGCGGCGGACGGGUGAGUAACACGUGGAUAACCUACCUGUAAGACUGGGAUAACUUCGGGAAAUCGGAGCUAAUACCGGAUAAUAUUUUGAACCGCAUGGUUCAAAAGUGAAAGACGGUCUUGCUGUCACUUAUAGAUGGAUCCGCGCUGCAUUAGCUAGUUGGUAAGGUAACGGCUUACCAAGGCAACGAUGCAUAGCCGACCUGAGAGGGUGAUCGGCCACACUGGAACUGAGACACGGUCCAGACUCCUACGGGAGGCAGCAGUAGGGAAUCUUCCGCAAUGGGCGAAAGCCUGACGGAGCAACGCCGCGUGAGUGAUGAAGGUCUUCGGAUCGUAAAACUCUGUUAUUAGGGAAGAACAUAUGUGUAAGUAACUGUGCACAUCUUGACGGUACCUAAUCAGAAAGCCACGGCUAACUACGUG
rnacentral:rRNA from 1 species